rnacentral:tRNA from 1 species
UCCCUGGUGGCUCAGAGGAUAAAGUUUCUGCCUGCAAUGCAGGAGACCCAGGUUCGAUCCCUGGGUUGGGAA